rnacentral:rRNA from 1 species
CAGUAGCCGCGGUAAUACGAAGGGGGCUAGCGUUGCUCGGAAUGACUGGGCGUAAAGGGUGCGUAGGCGGCUAUUUAAGUCAGCGGUGAAAGACUCCGGCUCAACCGGAGCAGUGCCAUUGAUACUGGAUAGCUUGAGUGUUGGAGGGGUACAUGGAAUUGAUGGUGUAGCGGUGAAAUGCAUAGAUACCAUCAGGAACACCGAUAGCGAAGGCAUUGUACUGGCCAACAACUGACGCUGAGGCACGAAAGCAUGGGGAGCGAACAGGAUUAGAGACCCCCGUAGUCCCUGUCUCUUAUAA